UGGGGAAUAUUGCACAAUGGGCGCAAGCCUGAUGCAGCCAUGCCGCGUGUAUGAAGAAGGCCUUCGGGUUGUAAAGUACUUUCAGCGGGGAGGAAGGGAGUAAAGUUAAUACCUUUGCUCAUUGACGUUACCCGCAGAAGAAGCACCGGCUAACUCCGUGCCAGCAGCCGCGGUAAUACGGAGGGUGCAAGCGUUAAUCGGAAUUACUGGGCGUAAAGCGCACGCAGGCGGUUUGUUAAGUCAGAUGUGAAAUCCCCGGGCUCAACCUGGGAACUGGAUCUGAUACUGGGAAGCUUGAGUCUGGUAGAGGGGGGUAGAAUUCCAGGUGUAGCGGUGAAAUGCGUAGAGAUCUGGAGGAAUACCGGUGGCGAAGGCGGCCCCCUGGACGAAGACUGACGCUCAGGUGCGAAAGCGUGGGGAGCAAACAGG
rnacentral:rRNA from 1 species